CACCGCGGUUAUACGAGAGACCCAAGUUGAUAGAUACCGGCGUAAAGAGUGGUUAAGACAAAUUAAUAACUAAAGCCGAACCCCCUCAGAGCUGUUAUACGCACCCGAGGGUAAGAAGUUCAAUUACGAAAGUGGCUUUACACCACCUGAACCCACGAAAGCUAUGAUA
rnacentral:rRNA from 1 species